rnacentral:rRNA from 1 species
AUUGAACGCUGGCGGCAUGCCUUACACAUGCAAGUCGAACGGCAGCGGGGGAGAAGCUUGCUUUUCCUGCCGGCGAGUGGCGAACGGGCGAGUAAUACAUCGGAACGUGCCCUGUAGUGGGGGAUAACUAGUCGAAAGAUUAGCUAAUACCGCAUACGACCUGAGGGUGAAAGUGGGGGACCGCAAGGCCUCAUGCUAUAGGAGCGGCCGAUGUCUGAUUAGCUAGUUGGUGGGGUAAAGGCCUACCAAGGCGACGAUCAGUAGCUGGUCUGGGAGGACAAUCAGCCACACGGGGACUGAGACACGGCCCAGACUCCUACGGGAGGAGGCAGUGGUGAAUUUUGGACAAUGGGCGAAAGCCUGAUCCAGCAAUGCCGCGUGUGUGAAGAAGGCCUUCGGGUUGUAAAGCACUUUUGUCCGGAAAGAAAUGGCUCUGGUUAAUACCGGGGGUCGAUGACGGUACCGGAAGAAUAAGGACCGGCUAACUACGUGCCAGCCGCCGCCGUAA